GUGAAUUUCAUAAAAGAUUGAAUUACAAGAAGGAAACAUUGUUAAAACUGUGUGGCAAAUGAUUAUAAAUGAACAAAAAGGAUUAUAAUUACAAGUUCUGCAUCCUUGUUCAAAUUUUGCCUUAUUGCAACCUCAUCCUCUUCUUGGAACUGUGAGGUGAUUGAUUUUCUGAUUUACAUGGAUUAUUAUUGUCUUUAGUCUUUUUUCUGUUCACGAACUCCGAAAAGGAUGGAAUGGCCGGCAACUCAGCACUCAUAGAGGCAUUUUGUGUUUUUGAUUGAGAAAUGCACAUCGUUGUUUCAGAUCCAACAUUGCUAUGGAGUUCUGGAUCAGUAUCCUUUAUUGGCUUUUUCUCCAACAAUCGCGACGGUUUCUCAGGAUGUUCUUCCUUAGGCAUGGUGUUCUCAGGACGGGCAGGGGUACUGCUCAGCAGCCGAUUAGUUAACUCCGAGGAAUUUGUCAUUUUUAUCCACCUCAGUGUACUCGCAACCUGUGAAUAAUAGAAUGUUUUCCCACUCUUCCCAUACUUCUUGUAGCACUCGUUUUCAAAGAAGGCAGCUGAUGCUUCCAAUUCAAUGCUCAAGUUGCCAAGC
rnacentral:misc_RNA from 1 species